rnacentral:rRNA from 1 species
GACAGAGGGUGCAAACGUUGCUCGGAAUUACUGGGCGUAAAGCGCGUGUAGGCGGGAAGAUAAGUCGGGUGUGAAAUCCCUGGGCUCAACCUAGGAACUGCAUUCGAAACUGUCUUUCUGGAGUGAUGGAGAGGAAAGCGGAAUUCCCGAUGUAGAGGUGAAAUUCGUAGAUAUCGGGAGGAACACCAGUGGCGAAGGCGGCGAUCUGGGAAGAUACUGACGCGUG